rnacentral:tRNA from 1 species
UAGGGAGACCUACCCAACUGAGAAUCGAAAGCACAGAGCAAAUAGAUGAACAGAUGGUCUACUCUAGGUCGGUCGCAGAUAGUGUCGAAGCUUUCAAACUAUGAUUUGGUUCGAUAAUGGGCUAUUAGCUCAGGUGGUUAGAGCGCACCCCUGAUAAGGGUGAGGUCCCUGGUUCGAGUCCAGGAUGGCCCACCUGAAGCAAGUCAAAAGUCAAAAGUCAAAAGCAAUAAACUAAUUAAUUUUGAAUUUUGAAUUUUGAAUUGUGUUGGGGGGGUUUAGCUCAGUUGGUAGAGCGCCUGCUUUGCAAGCAGGAUGUCAGCGGUUCGAGUCCGCUAACCUCCACAUGAAAAAGCGAAAAGCCAGAAAGGAAGAAUUCAGCAACUAACGGAAGUUAGACUGCUGGGUAAAACCUAGCCAGAACCUUGAAAACUGCAUAAAAACGCGAUUAGAUUAGCAGGCAGACACAGACAAACCGUGAAUGCAGGAUAAAGCCAAUGAAAAAGUGUUCAAGCU